rnacentral:rRNA from 1 species
GACGAACGCUGGCGGCGUGCCUAAUACAUGCAAGUCGAGCGAAUCAUUAGGAGCUUGCUCCUUUUGGUUAGCGGCGGACGGGUGAGUAACACGUGGGCAACCUGCCUAUAAGACUGGGAUAACUUCGGGAAACCGGAGCUAAUACCGGAUAAUCCUUUUUCACACAUGUGGGAAAGCUGAAAGGCGGUGCAAGCUGUCACUUAUAGAUGGGCCCGCGGCGCAUCAGCGAGUUGGUGAGGUAAUGGCUCACCAAGGCGACGAUGCGUAGCCGACCUUGGAGAGUGAUCGGCCACACUGGGACUGAGACACGGCCCAGACUCCUACGGGAGGCAGCAGUAGGGAAUCUUCCGCAAUGGACGAAAGUCUGACGGAGCAACGCCGCGUGAACGAUGAAGGCCUUCGGGUCGUAAAGUUCUGUUGUUAGGGAAGAACAAGUACCGGAGUAACUGCCGGUACCUUGACGGUACCUAACCAGAAAGCCACGGCUAACUACGUGCCAGCCGCCGCCGUAACAC